GGACAGCAGGACAGGCAGGGGUUGGAGUGGGCAUAGGAUUUCCAUCCCAAGUUCCCAGACCAUCUGUGGGGGUGCACGGGAGGCGUCAGAGCAAAAAUAAACCCCGGGACUCAGUGGCAAGGACCCGGUCACGAGAGGGGUGAGGUCUCUGUGGAAGGACAGGCCCUGAGCCCGGGCUCAUCAGCUGCCUUCCCAGGCAGGUGCCUCAGGGCCCAGCCUCUGUGUGGGCUCAGGGGGCUGUGCUGAGCCCCUGAGAGCCUCCCACCUGAGACUGGAGUCACCUCUGGCCUCCUCAGAAGCAGAACCUUCCCUGCCAGCUCAGAGGCACCUGCAGACCCAAGUGUGUGUGUUUCCCAAGAAGUGGAACAGGGACUGAGGACGCCCAGGGUGGGCCUCACGUACAAAACCCCUCUGUGCUUUUCAAAGAAGGAAACCAGAAAAGGAUCAAGGUGAAGUGGGGGAAUGGCUCAGCAUCGGAAAUAAAUCUAUCACUUUGAAAAGUAAGGCUCUGAGGGUCCCAGAAGCCCCCAGAGAUGACAGCUUCACCUGUCCCUAGGAACAAGCACCAAGUCUCCUAGGAAGUCAUCUGCAGAGGCCUGAUGGGGAAGCUCCUGAUUGCAGAGUUCUCUUGAAAGAACUGGAGAACCUUGAGGUCUACACUUUCCGGCUGGAAAAGUGCCUGAGGAAGCUCCCUGGGGGAGAGCAGCUUCCACUGCCUUCUAAGCCGAGACUGCCUGAGCAAGUUGUUCAGACGAGGCCCUUGAAGAGUUCACUGGCCAGGUGGGGGGUGUGAGACAGCUUCUCCCACCAGGUUGUCCCCACGGGCUCCUCGGCUCCUCUGGCCUUCAUGCCAUCAUCAGUCCCAAAGACCUCCAUAGGGUCCUCUGGGUCUCUGUCAUCCCUGUGCUCCUCCAAGCUACCAGUGUCUUCGUGUCCUCUGAAGCACCCUUUAUACGAGCCAUACGCAAGCACCCUAUCAGCAAACCUGGGCACCUCCAUAAAAUCCCUGGGGUCUCUGUCAUCCCUGAGCUUCUUCCAGUGACCAGCACCUUUGCGUUCCCUGGAGCAUCUUUCACACAAACCACGUGGGCAUGCCCCUCCCCGACGAUGGAAUCCCGGCUUGGUGUCCUGGUCCGACUCCACACAGGCUGAUUCUCAAACUGACCCCAUAAUAUGUCAAAUGUGCGACGCCCCUGAACUGUGUAGCUGGUGGGUGCCUUCUAGCCCUGGAGUGAUUCGAGGCGUUAGUCGCCACAGUGAUCCCAACCUGGGCCUCUCCUGGGGGCAGGAGGCUGCUAGAGCCCGGUGCCACUGCACCUCCUCACAGUUCCCAUUCGAGCACCCUAAUCUUCCCACCCACCUACCAAAGGCUUCCUUCUAGGGAGACGCCACAUGCAGGCAGGUGGAGGCAGGAGCCGCACUUUCCUCAGCCUGAACGUGCCAACGCUGCUGGAUGCACAAGACACCAAAAUCCCAGACACUCCCAUGGACGCCGCACACCCGACAUCCACGAACAACUGGGAAUCUCCUGAGGACAACUUGGAGGCACGUCCCUUCCCUGAUCCGGGCACCCCACAGACGCUGGAAACACGUGUUCUAAUGGAUUGGGAGAGGAACUAGUGGAGACGCUGGCUGUGUCUAGGCCAAGAGCAGGCCUGUCCCGGUGCACACGAAGUGUUCAAGGCAGUUUAUUAAAGUACAAGA